rnacentral:lncRNA from 1 species
AUUUUUUAGUAACAUAACUUAACGUUCUGGAUUCCUCGUUGGAACUUACAAAAUAUAUUAAAGUUAUGUUACUAAAAAUGUAAUUAAUCGAUUGAAUUUAGUUAUUAUUGUUAUGAAAUAUUAGAUUAUGGUGGAUGUCCAUAACUCCUAUAACAUUCACUACUUUUAUUCAUUAUCUCCAUAACUCUACUAUUCCAAUACUUAUGGUUGUAACUCCCACACCUCCAUGAUCUCCCCCAUGAUCUUCCUCC